UUUGUGUUAAAAUGGAAAAUAUCUAUCAUCUAGUUGACGUUUUUCUACAGUUAAAAUGGCUAAAUAUUUUCUUCGGCAUAUUGGAAAGAAGACAUUUUUGCGAAAUUUUUAGAAGCUUCAUGCUAUCAAAAUUAAGAAAACUCUGCCAUUUUGUCAACUGAUAGUCCUACACUUAACACCUUUGCAACUCAGUGGAUAUUUUUCAUUCGAUUGUGAGCUUGUGAAUUUUCAGUUUUUUCAAUCAUAAUUUAGUGUUAUAAGCUGAUUAUAUUUAAUAUUUAUCUGAAUAUCUUGAGAUUGGUACAUUUCCUGGUGGUUAAAAUAUACAAUUUAUUUCAUCUUGAUGUGAUGUUUAUUUCAUUAUUCCUCAUCCAAUAAAUCGAAAGAUUUCUUGUCAAAAUUUGUCUGGUAUGCAGAGUAAAAUAAAUUGGGACAAAAUAUCACAUUCUUAUGCUUUGCUUUCAAUCGCCGCUGUUGGUUUGCCUAUUGCUCCUGUUUAACGAUCAGUCUGUUGUUCGAUCUAUUGUUUAAAGUGUGUGAACAAGUAAACUGUC